rnacentral:rRNA from 1 species
UACGAAGGGGGCUAGCGUUGUUCGGAUCUACUGGGCGUAAAGCGCACGUAGGCGGAUCGUUAAGUCGGGGGUGAAAUCCUGGAGCUCAACUCCAGAACUGCCUUCGAUACUGGCGAUCUUGAGUCCGGAAGAGGUGAGUGGAACUCCUAGUGUAGAGGUGGAAUUCGUAGAUAUUAGGAAGAACACCAGUGGCGAAGGCGGCUCACUGGUCCGGUACUGACGCUGAGGUGCGAAAGCGUGGGGAGCAAACAGG